rnacentral:rRNA from 1 species
AGAAUCAACGCUGGCGGCGUGCCUAACACAUGCAAGUCGAACGAGAAAGUGGAGCAAUCCAUGAGUAAAGUGGCGACCGGGUGAGUAACACGUGACUAACCUACCUUCGAGUGGGGGAUAACCUCGGGAAAACCGAGGCUAAUACCGCAUAACAUCGCAAGAUCAAAGCAGCAAUGCGCUGGAAGAGGGGGUCGCGGCUGAUUAGCUAGUUGGCGGGGUAACGGCCCACCAAGGCGAAGAUCGGUAGCCGGCCUGAGAGGGCGCACGGCCACACUGGAACUGAAACACGGUCCAGACUCCUACGGGAGGCAGCAGUGGGGAAUUUUGCGCAAUGGGGGAAACCCUGACGCAGCAACGCCGCGUGGAGGAUGAAGCCCUUGGGGCCGUAAACUCCUUUCGACCAAGACGAUAAUGACGGUACUGGUGGAAGAAGCACCGGCUAACUCUGCGCCAGCAGCCGC